CGCUUACUUGAUUUGAAGUCUGGACCAUUAAAUUGGAUGCAUGAUAACUAAGUGGGCCAUUUUUGGUAAGCAGAACUGGCGCUGUGGGAUGAACCGAACGUUGAGUUACGGCGCCUGAUUAUAGACGCUCAUCAGAUACCACAAAAGGUGUUGGUUGCUAUAGACAGCAGGACGGUGGCCAUGGAAGUCGGAAUCCGCUAAGGAGUGUGUAACAACUCACCUGCCGAAGCAACUAGCCCUGAAAAUGGAUGGCGCUAGAGCGUUUAGCCUAUACUCAACCGUUGUGGCACACGCUGCGGUAAGCAAUUAUCGUAUUUGGUGCUUUUAUGGCACAUGCGUGCUAGUCAUGCCUCAACGAGUAGGAGGGUCGCGGCGGUAUGCUUUGAAGGCUUAGCGGCGUGAGCCGGGCUGGAGCUGCCGUCGGUGCAGAUCUUGGUGGUAGUAGCAAAUACUCAAGCGAGAACCUUGAGGACUGAAGUGGAGAAGGCUUCCAUGUGAACAGCAGUUGAACAUGGGUCAGUCGAUCCUAAAGCAUCGGCGAAGGCCGUUCAGAAGCGGUGUCGGUUAUGUGGCAGUAUGCUGUUUCGGCAGUAUGCUGUCCGGCUAUAGGCGCUUGCUCGUUUAUAGUCGCCGCACCUGCUGAAAGGGAAUUGGAUUAAUAUUUCCAAACCUAACAGCGGAGAUUGGUUGCUCAUUAGGCUGCACGGGCCUUGCGCUCGUGUCAGUCGGGGCAACGCGCUGCGGUAACGCAAACGAACUCGGAUACGCUGACUGGAGUCCCGGGAAGAGUUGUCUUUUCUUCAUAAAGAGUCGACUCCAUGGAAUUGGUUCAGCCAGAGAUAUGGAGAUGGCGUCUGAAAAGCAUCGCGCUUCUUGCGAUGUCCGGUGCGCUCCAAGCGGCCCUUGAAAAUCCGAGGGAGAGAAUGAUUUUCGUGUUAGAUCGUACCCAUAUCCGCAGCAGGUCUCCAAGGUUAAAAG
rnacentral:rRNA from 1 species